AACAGGACACGAACCGGUGCUGGUCCAUGGCUUGGGUGUUGGGGACCAUUGGCCUACUGUAUUCAGCACAGUGACAUGCUGCACAGAACUGUCGGCACCGCAGCAUUAUUAUCACUGCAGCUACCACUGGAGAUGGCUACAGACACCAGAAACGGAAGAGCACCUCUCCCCUCCUCCGGCAGUGUGACUUUCAGUCGGCUCCUCUCGUAGCCAGAUGGUAUAGAAAUGACACACCAAUGUCCUUCAGAACAUACAUGCAAAAUAGUUUAAAUAUACUAGAAAUUCUAUUCCCCUUAGAAAACUAAGUCCACCUACAUAUUUUUCAAAAAUCCAUCAGCAAUACAGAAUAAAGGCAUUGGUUCUAUA